rnacentral:rRNA from 1 species
AUACGGGGGGAGCAAGCGUUGUUCGGAAUUACUGGGCGUAAAGGUCGUGUAGGCGGCCUUGUAAGUCGGGGGUGAAAUCCACUGGCUCAACCAGUGGCGUGCCUUCGAAACUGCUCGGCUUGAGUACGGCAGAGGGAAGCGGAAUUCCAGGUGUAGCGGUGAAAUGCGUAGAUAUCUGGAAGAACACCGGUGGCGAAGGCGGCUUCCUGGGCCUGUACUGACGCUGAUGCGCGAAAGCCAGGGGAGCAAACGGGAUUAGAAACCCCAGUAGUCC